AUGAAAAUUAAACCUGAGGUUACGGAAAUCAUCGAUGGUGUAUAUGGCGGCGGGCGUUUGCGGAGGUGUCGUGGAAGUCGCAGCCGGAUCGGAGACGUUGUGGCAGGUGCAUCGCUGGUUGAUCGGCCGACAGUGGGAUUCCGGUUUUGCGGAGUGGAUCUGGAUGGUGCUGAGUUGUGCGAGAGCGACUGCACUUUGUUGCUCGACGGCGGUGUUGUGACGGAGGGUGUUCCCUUCGUGCAGUUGGGGCGAGCCUGA